CUAAUUUUCAAUAAAAGGUGGUCCUCUGUACAAGACGACUUAUCUCUUUAAAUACACGUUUGAAGAAAGAAAACCUUAAUAUCUAUUACACAAUCAUAAUAGUAUUAGUAAAACCCCAUACCAUAAAUAAAAGCCCAACUAAUAAUUAAAACAAGUAGUCUUCCGCCUUGCCUAGUGACAAAACUUGAAAGCAAAGGCGGACGUAGAGGAUGUGUUGGAUCAGGCCCCUAGAAGAAGAUUCGCCUCUGAAUCUUGAUCGUCGUUAUCACCAUAAAACUUGGAAAGAAACUUCACAUUGAACACGUUGGCCGCCUUAAUAUGAUCAGGCAGCUCGAGGCGAUAGACGUUGUCAUUUAUGCGUUCCAAUACCUUAACGGGUCCAAUCUUUCGCAACUGUAGCUUGUUAUAUUAUGUGCAGGAAGGAUAUCUUUGUCAGUACUACCCAAACCAAAUCACCUAAUAGCACUUCCGGAUGAUGGCAAGUAUCCCCACUCGCUUUAUGGGUGUUGCCUGGAAGGUGUUUCAUGGAUGAGGUUUGAUUGUGAUUCAUUCUUCGCUAAUCUAGUUAAUAAUGAGAGUUUUCAUUCUCGUUUUAAGAUUUCCAGUCUUUCUGUGUUUUGGUUCUUGCUAUGAUUUUAGCUUCCAUGGCUUCCUCUUUAUCCAAUAGUAACAAGAUCAAGUCUAAACUCAAUCACCACCUCCUCUGUCCUCUUCAGAAUCUCUCAUCUUCUAUAAUGCUACAAUCUCCAAAUUCCGCUGAAGCAAGAGGAAAUAUGCCACUUCCUCCACCAUCUUCACAUGUUAACACACCUCUUUCUCCACCAGUUCUUCAAUCUCAUACACCUCCUCCGCUUCAAUGUGGCUCUUCCUAUUUUUCCAGCACUAACAUCCGAUAAACCUAGGAGUGUGAUAGAUGAUUGAAUAGUGUUUCAAUAUUUGUCAUGAUGGAAAUAGAGAACAUCAGAGAUUGGUGCCACCGUCGACUGAUAAGUAAUGUUUGUUUGUUGUAGAUUUCACGGCAGAGAUACCAAAACACUGAAUCAAGAGUAUAGGGGAAGAUUGUUCUUCUCCGGAGAAUAAGCUACGUCAGAGAUUUACCUGUGACGUUUAGAGAAAUUUUUUUCCAACUUUUAAAUUAGAUUUUGAGGGAAAGUUUAUGUAAGUUUCGAGGGAAGAAAAAGAGAAGUAAUGGUAGAGAUUGAUUGGUCGACCUCUAAUUAGUUUUAAGUUUAGUUGAGGAUAUAUUGAGUUUUCUUUACUCAUACCAAAGUGUGCAAGAAGUUGAAAGUGCGUGUGUAAUUGAACUUUUAAAAUAUGUGUAUGAUCAAAAUGUAAAUGUAACUU
rnacentral:lncRNA from 1 species